CAAACAUCAACAUGAGGCUCUGUUACACUCCGUACUGAUCACUAAAGACCUCUCAGAACGGCACUGUCCAAUACGGUACCCACCUCCAGUGUGAAAUGGGGCCAGUGUGAAUGGAGAUGUGCUGACUGGACUGGUCUCCCAGGCAUUUGUUGUCACAAGUUCUUCCACCAUCUUCACCAAAGGGUCAGACCUUGAGCUGUCUGAGGGGGAGCACCUUGCACCUGAACAUGGUCGCAGGGGACUUCUGCGGUCAGAGCUGUCGGAGAGGAAGACAAAGUUUCCAUCCAGCUGUUUGGCAUUGGAUCCUGCUGCCUCUGCUGGACGUGAGUGUGUGAGGGAAGCUCUGUUUAGACAAGUGGAAACCACGAGCUUGAGAGUCCUGGGGGUAGGCUCGCGGAGACUCCAGUCUCUCACCUGCUUGGACAAACCGCUAGAUUCACAUGAUCAGGUGGAAGUUAAUCACUGCAGAGAACACAGCAGAACAACUCCAAUCCAGAGUCACCUCUGCGGGUCUUUUGGACAACUUCAGGACCCGCUCUGGCUUUUCACGGGAUGGAGUUCCUCUUUGUAGAAGUUUUAUCUAUCUAUGACGGUACACACUCUGGUUCACAAUCCAGCAGGACUGGCUUCUCCUGGAGCUUGCAGGAAAUGCAAAAUCUCCAACCCCUGCACGAGUAAGACUUCUCCAGAGAAACAG